rnacentral:rRNA from 1 species
AGUGGCGCACGGGUGAGUAACGCGUGGGUAUCUACCUUGGAGUUGGGAAUAACACCUCGAAAGGGGUGCUAAUACCCGAUACGGUCCUUUUCGGGAAAGAUGUGCUCCAAGAUGAGCCCGCGUACCAUUAGCUAGUUGGUAGGGUAACGGNCUACCAAGGCAAUGAUGGUUAGCUGGUCUGAGAGGAUGGCCAGCCACACUGGAACUGAGAUACGGUCCAGACUCCUACGGGAGGCAGCAGUGAGGAAUCUUGCGCAAUGGGGGCAANCCUAACGCAGCAACGCCGCGUGAGUGAUGAAGGCCUUCGGGUCGUAAAGCUCUGUCAGGCGGGAAGAAUGACGGUACCGCCAGAGGAAGCACCGGCUAACUCCGUGCCAGCAGCCGCGGUAAUACGGAGGGUGCUAGCGUUGUUCGGAAUUAUUGGGCGUAAAGAGCGUGUAGGCGGGCGAGUAAGUCAGAUGUGAAA